CUACGUGCCAGCAGCCGCGGUAAUACGUAGGUCCCGAGCGUUGUCCGGAUUUAUUGGGCGUAAAGCGAGCGCAGGCGGUUAGAUAAGUCUGAAGUUAAAGGCUGUGGCUUAACCAUAGUACGCUUUGGAAACUGUUUAACUUGAGUGCAAGAGGGGAGAGUGGAAUUCCAUGUGUAGCGGUGAAAUGCGUAGAUAUAUGGAGGAACACCGGUGGCGAAGGCGACUUGCUGGACGGUAACUGACGCUGAGGUGCGAAAGCCAGGGUAGCGAACGGGAUUAGAUACCCCGGUAGUCCUGGCGGUAAACGAUGAAUGCUAGGUGUGCGAGCAGAGAUGUUGGUGUGCCGCAGUUAACGCGAUAAGCAUUCCGCCUGGGGAGUACGGUCGCAAGAUUGAAACUCAAAGGAAUUGACGGGGGCCCGCACAAGCGGUGGAGCACGUGGUUUAAUUCGAUGCAAACCGAAGAACCUUACCUGGGUUUGACAU
rnacentral:rRNA from 1 species